rnacentral:misc_RNA from 1 species
AACUCUCAACCUCGUUCGCUUUUACUAGCUUGAGCGAGGCUUGGACGUGAGGGCUUGCUGGCUUCCUUCAGUGGAUGGUCUGCUCCCUUUAAAAGCAUUAGUGGGAUCUCUUGUGGACGGACCGUCACUUGGUGUGAUAAUUAUCUAUGCCAGUUGACUUUGAAGCAAACUUAUGGGAACCUGCUUAUAACCGUCUCGCAAGGGACAGCAAUCUUAAUUGACA